UACGGAGGGUGCAAGCGUUAUCCGGAUUCACUGGGCGUAAAGGGUGCGUAGGUGGCGAGGAAAGUCGGAUGUGAAAGCUCGGAGCUCAACUCCGAAAUGGCAUUGGAAACUACCUUGCUCGAGGGUUGGAGGGGGGACUGGAAUUCUCGGUGUAGCAGUGAAAUGCGUAGAUAUCGAGAGGAACACCAGUGGCGAAGGCGAGUCCCUGGACAACUCCUGACACUGAGGCACGAAAGCUAGGGGAGCAAACAGG
rnacentral:rRNA from 1 species